CCUGAUUUUCCGAGAGGUGGUGCAUGGCCGCCGUCAGUUCGUACCGUAAGGCGUUCUGUUAAGUCAGAUAACGAACGAGACCUCCGUCACCAUUUGCUAUCCUCUUCUCCGGAAGGGGAGCACUAUGGUGGUACCGCCACUGUUAAAGUGGAGGAAGGAGGGGGCAACGGUAGGUCAGUAUGCCCCGAAUCUCCCGGGCUACACGCGCGCUACAAAGGGCAGGACAAUGGGCUUCGACACCGAAAGGUGAAGGCAAUCCUGAAACCUGCUCGUAAUUCGGAUUGAGGGCUGCAAUUCGCCCUCAUGAAGCUGGAAUACGUAGUAAUCGCGGGUCAACAUCCCGCGGUGAAUAUGCCCCUGCUCCUUGCACACACCGCCCGUCAAACCACCUUAGUUGGGUCUGGACGAGGGUUUGUCUUCUGACACGCUCGAAUCUGGGUUCAGCGAGGAGGGUUAAGUCGUAACAAGGUAUCCGUA
rnacentral:rRNA from 1 species